CUCCCAAAGUGCUGGGAUUGCAUGUGUGAGCCACCACAGCUGGCCUGAAUAAUAUUUCUUAAUUUCAGUAUGUUCAACCAACCUUGCAUUUCAGAGAUGAAGCCUACCUGAUUCUGGUGGAUAAGUUUUUUCAUUUGCUGCUGAAUUUGGUUUGCCAGUAUUUUGUUGAAAUUUUUUGCAUCACUGUUCAUCAAAGAUACUUACCUGAAGCUUUCUUUUUUUGUUGUACUCUGUUGGGUUUUGGUGUGAAGAUUGUCCUGGCCUCAUAGAAUGAGUUAGGGAGAAGUCCCUUCUCCUCAAUUGUUUUUUUGUUUUUGUUUUUGUUUUUUUGAGACAAAACAAAACUCUUGUCACCCAGGCUGGAGUGGAAUGGUGUGAUUUCAGCUCACUGUAACCUCCGCCUCCCGGGUUCAAGUGAUUCUUCUGCCUCAGCCUCUUACAGGCACACGCCACUAGGCCCAGCUAAUUUUGUAUUUUUAGUAGAUACAGGACUUCGCCCUGUUAGCCAGGCUGUUCUCGAACUCCUGAUCUCAGGUGAUCCACUCGCCUUGGCCUCCCAAAGUGCUAGGAUUACAGGCAUGAGCCACUGCGCCCAGCCUGUCGUUAAUUUUUUGAAAGAAUUUCAGUAGAAACUGUACCAGCUCUUCUUUUUACAUCUGGUGGAAUUCAACUGUGAAUCUUUCUUCCCAUGGGGACUCAGGGACCAUCCUGUGUCAUCUUCUGAGGGCCCGGAAGGGGUUUGCCUGUGGGCUUUCUAAUUGCCGGAAGGGACGGCAUGCUGCAUGGUGGGUGCCCCUGCUGUGGGUUAGGGGGUACCCCUGCUUGGCAUCCCGCCCCUCUGGUUCCUGCUUCCCCCCCUCAUUCUUGGGGGUGGGGGUGGUGGCAGCUUGAUCCCCGGGCUGGGACAGGGCUGGGGGAGCCUGGUGUGGAUGGCUGAGGCACUGGUGUCUGGGGAUGUGGCCCAGCAGGCUCCAUCCCAGGUAAGGCCCUGAGGGCCCAGAGGUAGCCGUCUUGGUCCCAGCCCUCUCCCACCCCAGGGGUAGGGUGGUCACUAAGGGGCAGUCCCUGCACUUGAGCCCUUCCUCCUCUUUCCACCACCUACGGUUGAUCAACAGACGGGGUCAGGGGCAUGGUGGGAAGGAAGGUUGGCAACUUAGAUACCAGAGGAACAGCUUCAGGCCACGAGCGCCUCCCUUGGCCUGUAGGGUGGACCCGCUGUGCCUCUGCCAGUUGGCUUUUCCUUCUGUCUGCCAGGUCCACCAGAUGUUUGCCAAGAGUGUAGGACUUGGCCACCAGCUUGAAGUGUUUCAGGUGGACCAGAGGGCUCUCGCCGGGGUCAGAACUGCUUAGAUCCAGCAGAGGGUGCGAUUGUGGCUCACUGCUACCUCCAUCUUCCCAGGCUUACCGAGGCGAUCCUCCCAUUUUGGUCUCCCAAGUGGCUGCGGCUCUGGGGAUCUUUCUGUUUUGUUUUGUUUUGUUUUUUUCCCUAGGCCCACUUCAAGUUUGUUUCCACAGUACAUUGAAUUGCUGUUUUUUUUUUCUUUCUUUUCUCUCUGUUAUGCUCCUUCCUGCAUACUGAAGUUCCUGUUAUUUUAGAUUUUUUCUUUUCUUUUUUUUUUUUAAAUCAGGCUUUGGCUCCCAAAGUGCUGGAAUUACAGGUGUGAGCCACCAUGCCUGGCUCUAUCUAUCUAUCUAUCUAUCUAUCUAUCUAUCUGUCUAUCUGUCUAUCUAUCUGUGGGCACUCUAUAGAUAGGUAGGUAGGUAGGUGGUAGGUAGGUAGGUAGAAAAUAAAUAAGUUUUCAUUUAUUUAUUUAUUUAUUUUGAGAUGGAAUUUCACUCUUGUCACCCAGGCUGGGCACCAUCUCCAGUCACUGCAACCACCGCUUCCUGGGUUCAAGCAAUUCUCCAUCCUCAGCCUCCCAAGUAUCUGGGAUUACAGGCGUGUGCCACCACACCCAGCUAACUUUUGUAUUUUUAGUAGAAAUGGGGUUUCAACAUGUUGACCAGGCUGAUCUCGAACUCCUGACCUCAGGUGAUCCACCCACCUCGGCCUCCCAGAGUGCUGGGAUUACAGUCGUGAGCCAAGGAGCCCGGCCUAUCUAUUUUUUUAGUAGAGAUGUGGUCUCACUAUGUUGUCCAGGCUUUGGUUAUAUAUAUUACUCUUUUAACUUUGUCAUUUUUCAUUAGAGAUGUCUCACAAUGUUGCCCCCAGUAUCGUAUCAAACUCCUUGGCUCCAUCUAUCCUCCCGAUUUGGCCUCCCAAAGUGCUGGGAUUACAGGCAUGAGCCACCGUGCCUCAUCUGGUUAUAUUUUUGAUGUGUUGACUCUUUCCAGUUCAGAUGCAUAAUCUCAUCCCUGAACAUCCUGCUGGUGCGAUUAUGACAUAUGAUUUUACCCAGCACCAGAGGGAUUUGAUGCUCCUGCCUGGGCCCAACUCACAGAAGGGAUUGUGACAUAUCACUGGACCCAGCACUGAGGGGACAUUGUGUAAUAUCGUUGGGCCUCACACGUACGUUAUGUGACUCUCCUGCGUGUGCCCUGUCCAUGUGGGCCAUUGUGACAUAUUGCUGGGUCCAACAACUGGUUGAUGUAGCUCUACUGCCUAGGUCCUGCCUAUGGAGGACUUUGUGAUGUAUCCCUGAACCCAUCACACAGAUUCUGCCCUCAGAGGACAUUGUGACAUGUCACUGGGCCUAAUACUAAGAUGACAUCAUUCUUUAGUUUUGGCACUGCCCUCAGAAGCCGUGGUGGUGUAUUGCUGGGCCCAGAGCCAAUGUGAUGUGAGUCUCCUGCCUGGAUCCUGCCUACAAGGUUAUGUGAAUCCUCUUCUUCCCAGAUCCUGCCAAAAGGAAAGAUUGUGACAUAUCACUGGAACCAGCACUUAGGCUAUUGUGACAUAUGCCUGAGGCUAACACCCAGAUGAUAUAAGUCUUCAUCCUGGACCCUGUCUACAGAAGUCAUUGCGAUAUAUGUCUUCACCAAUCACUGAGGUCGAACGCCCAGUGAUGUGACUCUCCUUCCUGGUCCAUGCCCUCAGGGAAGAUUGUGACAUACCCCGGCCCAGCACACAGUUAAUGUCACUCUUGUGCUUGCUGUCUACCCAUGGGUAGGAUUGUGACAUAUAUCGUGGCCAAGCACAAAGAUGUAAUGACUGUCAUACCUCGAAGAAAGCAAUAGAGUUAAUGUUGCUCCUAGGUAGGCUUAGGAAAAUGAGGAAGUCGUCUUUCUGUUCAAAUCUCACUCUCUGACAUAUAUAAAGCCCUAGUGUGUUACAGAGAAUGUCAUAACAGGGCUCCUCACACAGGUGAGAUCGUGUUCUAUACACAGCCCACCAAUCUUGAGAAUUGUCACCCUCACACAUGGACAGAGUCCACUGGUGAAGUCCUGAAUCACACAUGAAUGCAGUUCACAAUUGGAAUUGUGACUGUCAUCAUUGAACAUCUAGCCACAAUUUGGAUGGUGAUUCUUUUUUUUUUUUUUUUUUUUUUUUUUUUUUUUUUUUUUUUUUUGAGACAGAAUCUUGCUCUGUCACCCAGGCUGGAGUGCAGUGAUGCAAUCUUGGCUCACUGCAACCUCUGCCUCCUGGGUUCAAGCGAUUCUCCUGCCUCAUCCCCCUGAGUAGCUGUGAUUCCAGGCACCCGCCACCAAGCCCAGCUAAUUUUUGUAUUUUAAGUAGAGACAGGGUUUCACCAUGUUGGCCAGGCUGGUCUCGAAGUCCUGACCUCGUGAUCUGCCCACCUCAGCCUCCCAAAGUGCUGGGAUUACAGGUGUGAACCACCAUGCCCGGCAGUGAUUCAUUUCUAAACCCAGCUUGUUAAAAGGUGAGGACUCUCCUAUCUGGACUAAACCAAUAGUUUAGUUUAGUUAGGAUAGAUGUUGAUGCUCAUAUCUGGGCUUGGAACCACAGGAAAGAUCUUCUUGGACAAAGGUCACAGAGGAUUACCACUCUUGCAUAUUGUAUAAAUCAUCAAGUGAAACUAUCAUAAGAGAACAUAGCACAUGCGUGAGAUUUUGUCUUUUGAAUGUACACCCAGGCAACAGUAAAGAUUGUCAUUCUCCCAUAUUGAGGUUCUGAAUGUCAGACACAGAGACUGUGAAAAGUUGAAUAAUUGACUCUCACGUGGAUCUGGACUAGAGGUGGACUGGUGACUCUCAGAGCAAGAUUCAGCACACAUAAGAGUCUGUGACUUCACUGAAAGGACAAGCCUGCAGAAGAAAUUGUGGCUUUCCUGCCCACAUUCUGUCAACCAUUGAUAUUGUGACUCACAUACUUAGACCCAACGUACAGAAAGUGUUGACUCAUACCUAGCACCUGGACAUAUAUGGAAUUUCUACUCUAAUUCCUGGACUUUUCUGCAGGUGUGAUUGUAUGCAUCUGCUACCCACCUUAGUGAUUUGACUUUGCUGCCUUGGCCCAGCCCACAGAUGAGAUUGUGACAUAUCGCUUGACUCUGCACCUUGAUGGUGCAAUCUCCGCUCACUGCAACCUCUGCCUCCCAGGUUCAAGUGAUUCUUCUGCCUCAGCCUCCUGAGGAGCUGGGAGUACAGGCAUGCACCACCACACCCAACUAGUUUUUGUAUUUUUAGUAGAGACGGGGUUUCACCAUGUUGGUCAGGCUGGUCUCGAACUCCUGACCUCGUGUUCUGCCCGCCUCAGCCUCCCAAAGUCCUGGGAUUACAGGUAUGAGCCACCAUGCCCGGCCUCGCUGGGCCUUUCACCCAGAUGAUGUGAGUUAUUUUUCUUGCAUUGGUACUGCUCACAGGGUGCAUUGUGACAUAUUUCUAAGCCCUUCACUCAGGUUAUGUGACUACUUUUUUGCCUGUGCCCUAACUAUUUUGCAUGUUAGGACAUAUUAUGAGGCCCAACACCUGUAAAAUAGAGGCUCCUCCCUGGGCCUUGUCUACAGAGGGCCUUGUGACAUAUCUCUGCAUCAGUCACCUAGGAAAUGUGACUCCGUUUUUGCCUGCACUCUGUCCACAGGAAACAUUGUGACUUAUCACUAGGCCCAGGUACUAGUUGAUGUGUCUCUGGUAACUGGGCCUUGACCACAGAGAGGAUUGUUACCUAUUGCUGGGCUCAGCCCCCAUGUGGUGUGACUGUACUGUCUGUGUCCUGCUUUCAGGAGAAGGCUGUAACAUAUUCCUGGUUGAGUAUUCAGGUGAUGUGACACUCCUGUUUGGUCCCUGCCUUCAGAAAAGAUUGUGAUGUACUCCUGGCCAAAAACCCAGGUGAUGUGACUCUUAUCUCUCCCUAUUCACAGGUAAGAUUGUAAAAUGCCUUGGUCUAGCUCACAGGUGUGAUGAUGUUGAUCCUUUUUUUUUUUUUAUUUUAUUUAUUUUUUUUAUUUUUGGAGAUGGAGUUGCUCUGUCGCCCAGGCUGGAGUGCAGUGGUGUGAUCUCAGCUCACUGCAACCUCCACCUCCUGGGUUCUAGGGAUUCUCCUGCCUCAGCCUCCCAAGUAGCUGGGAUUACAGGUGCACACCACCAAUCCCGGCUAAUUUUUGUAUUUUCCGUAGAGACAUGGUUUCAGCAUGUUGGCCAGGCUGGUCUCGAGCUCCGUACUUCAAGUGAUCUGCCUGCCUCAGCCUCGCAAAGUUCUGGGAUUACAGGCAUGAGCCACCGUGCCCGGCCACAAGUGUGGUGGUGACUCUCAUACCUCAAACCAGCCAAUAGGAGAGAUCCUGUUUCUUAUAGCUAGGCUUAAAAUCAUGAGUAUGGUCAUGGGUCUUCUUGUACGAAGGUCCUAGAGAAAUACCACUUUCUUUUAUACUAUAUAAAUCUCUUACUGUACAGAGAUUGCCAUUCCAGCGUUCAGAACACAGGUGAGAUUGUGUUUCUCAUAUGCAUACCCCAGCAAACAUUAAAAUUGUCAUCUUCACACAUGGACAGGGUCCACUGGUAAGUCCUGAAUCUCACACAUGGAAAAAAUCCACAGUUGAAAUUGUGACUGUCAUAUAUGAACAUCCGGCCAGAGUUGAAAUCAUGAGUCAUUUCUAAAUUCAGUUUAUAGGCAAGUGAGAAUUUUUCUAUCUGAACCUGAGAGAAUAAAAGGUGGUUUUGAAUUAGACAAAAUAGAGCUAAAAGUUCAAACAAAUGGUGGAAGGAUUGUAAAAAUCUUGCAAAGAAUUCCAUGUGUGGUUAUAUUGACUAAAUUCAAAAAGGUACUACAUGGUUUUUCUGUAAAUAAAAAAUUGAAAUAAAAGCACAACAAGGUACUCGUAAUGCACUAAUCUGCUUUUUAGCAAACUUUGUUAACGGUUAUAACAGAUUGUUGCUUCUUUAAAAUUUUGGAGUCAUUGUAACAAAAUAAAUAAUUUAGGAUAAUCUGAAAUUCUAUUUUAUAACAUCAAGUGUUUCAAAUCUCUAACACUUAACAUGCUUCCCAAAAUCAUACUUUAGUUUCAAAAUUGCCUUUCCUGAUUCCUGGCUUUUGGAUACUUCAGAGGGUCCCUGGAGUAUCUAAAAGAGAGGUAAACAGAAUUAUUUGACAUGUUUAGGUACAUGAGAUUGGCAAAAUGGUGUUUAUUCCAUCUUUAGGUUAUAUUUUGGUGAAUAAUACUAAUAUAUGUUCCAAAAUUGUUUGGGAUUUCUAAAAUUCUAAUAUAUGGUAUCAAUGGUAAUUAAGGUUGUUAUGUUAAGUUAUUGUAAACCACAGAGAUAGCCAAACUUCUUUGUCAAUUGUGUUUCUAACUGUAACUAACCUGGACAUUUUGUUAUUCACAGACAAGUGUUGUCUUGUCUUAAUUAUUUUUAAAAGAUGGUUUAUAUUAAACUAUAGAACUUUCACAGGUGCUUUCAAAUACAGGUUUCUGAUAGCCUUGGAGAUUGUGACAUUGGAAUAAAGGAAAAAAGGACAGGAUUCAGGGCCGGGUGUGGUGGCUUACACCUGUAAUCCCAGCACUUUGGGAGGCCAAGGCAGGUGGAUCACGAGUUCAGAUCGAGACCAUCCUGGCUAACACGGUGAAACCCAGACUCUACUAAAAAUACAAAAAAUUAGCAUGGUGGCUGGCACCUCUAGUCUCAGCUACUCGGGAGGCUGAGGCAGGAGAAUCGCUUGAACCUGGGAGGCGGAGGUUGCAGUGAGCUGAGAUCACACCACUGCACUUUAGCCUGGGCGACAGAGAGAGACUCCAUCUCAAAAAAAAAAAAAAAAAAAAUGCACAGGACUCAUGAGGAGCUAAAAUGUUCACAAAUAUCAAGCAAAACAAGAGUUAAGUAAAUGGACUGCACUCAGAAAACUAAAGCAACCUUUUUGACUUUUGCUUGGUAUAUUGCUGAUCCUUGUUUAAUUUUUUAGAGUCAAGGAAACUUGUUUUUAACUACUAUUUAUGGCCUUCAAUAAUUGAGUAAAGUAUACUCCUAUGAACAAAAUUAGGAAUAUGUUUGUUUUUCUCUGCCUCUUUCCUCUAGAAUUUGGAAACUAUCUGUGAGUAUUCUCAACUUAUGGCAAUAUAGUUGUUUGUAUGAGUGCAAUAAGAAUCCAUUUUCUUUAGCAACAGGAUGCAACUGGAGAAACUGUUUGUUUGUUUGUUUUAACCAAGGCUUUGACUGAAAGGGUAUGCUUCCCUUUAAAGAGUCAAGCUUGACUUGCAGAGAUGAUAAAAGCCCCUUGAAAAAACUGCCCUCAUAUCCUUGUCUACACAGUCUCUGUACAGCGUUCCUGACCUGUGGUCAGUGAAAAAUAUCACUUUUUAACAGGCCUAGGAGCUCCAAGUUUGUCUUGGGACCUUAAAAGGAAAGGAUUACCCAGCUCACAGGUAUUUGAGGAUACAAACACAUGGCUGUGCUCAGCUUUAGAAGGUCUUAUUCCUUGUGGAAGAUUUCCAUCGAAGCCAAUCUAAAAGGCCUAUGUAGAGAUAGUCAUUUUUGCUCACCUUAUGCAAAUAAUCAGGGCGAGUAUAGGACUAAAGGCUAUGUUGCAAACAACUCAGUCCUGUUAUGAUUUUUUCUUUUCUUUUUUUUUUUUUUUUUUAGAUGGAGUCUCGCUCUGUCACCCAGGCUGGAGUGCAGUGGCACAAUCUCGGCUCACUGCAUCCUCCACCUCCCAGGUUCAAGCAAUUCUCUGCCUCAGCCUCUUGGGUAGCUGGGAUUACAGGUGCCCGCCACCAUGCCCUGCUAAUUUUUGUAUUUUUAGUACAGACAGGAUUUAGCCAUCUUGGCCAGCUGCUCCUAAACUCCUGACCUCAUGAUCCACCCACUUCGGCCUCCAAAGUGCUGGGAUUACAGGCGUGAGCUACCAUGCCUGGCCAGAACCCAAUAUUUUCUACAAUAUUUUAUACAUUUCUUUCUACAUGGAUUAUAUAAAUUGGGCUUUCCAGCAGAAAAAGGAAAAGAAAAAGCAUAUGUCUCAAUGAGAGCACACAAUUAUGAGAAUGGCAACCAUGUAAAGAAAAAUUGCAAGGACUUAGUGCUGAUGAGGAUUUACAGCAACUAAAACUAGAAAUGUAAAAUGAUACAGUAAAACAAUUUAACGGUUUAUUGUAAUGUUAUAUAUACAUUUAUCAUAUUACCAGGAUAUCCACUCCUAGGUCAUUACUAAAGCAAAGUGAAAACUAAUGUUGAAAUGCAAACCUUUUUGUGGCUGUGUAUUGCUAACUUUAUUUUCAAUUGCAAAAAGCUAGGUAUAAACCAGUUGCUUUAUAGCAGUUGAAUAAACUGUGGUGCAUCCAUAAAAUAGCAUCCUAGUUGUCAACAACAACAAAAAACAAAUUAUUGAUCUACGCCACAGUAUGCAUGAGUCAGACAUGCAUUUCCUUCAGUGAAGGAAGUAAGAUCCAAAAGGCUACAUAUUACAUGAUCCAAUUAUAUGGCAUUGUAGAAAAAGAAAGUUAUAGAGAUUGAUUAUAAUCAAGCUAGGCUUGAUAGCUCAAACCUAUAAUCUCAGCAUGUUGGGAGGCUGAGGUGAGAGAGUUGUUUGAGUCAGGGAUUUUAAGAGCAGCCUGAGCAAUAUAACAAGACCUUCCUAAAAAAAAGAAGAAGAAAGCAGAAGGAGAAGGAGAAGGGGAGAUGGAGAAAUAGAAGGAGGAGGAGAAAAGGAAGGGGAAGAAAAAAGAGGAGGAGGAAGGAAAAGCAGGAGGAAGAGGAGAAAGAAUAACAAAAAGUAGUAGUAGUUAGGACGAUGAAACAGUUCUGUGUGGUACUCUGAAGAUGGGUAUGUGACUCUAGACAGUUGUCAAAUCUUAUGAAACUGAACAUCACAGAGAAUAAAUUUUCCUCUGCAAAACAACACAAAACAAAAAAAAUACAUUGAUUUGGAGUAUAUUUAGAUACAAUGUAGAAAAUUUUAAAAGGAGCUUAACCUAAUAGAAAUGUAUUACCUAACCCUAUUAAAGAGGGUUGGAAUGAGGCCAGGCAUGGUUGCUCAUGCCUGUAAUCCCAGCAUUUUGGGAGGCCGAGGCAGGUGGAUCACCUGAGGUCGAGAAUUUGAGACUAGCCUGACCAACAUGGAGAAACCCCAUCUCUACAAAAAACACAAAAUUAGCUGGGUAUGGUGGCACAUGCCUGUAAUCCCAGCUCCUCGGGAGGUUGAGGCAGGAGAAUCACUUGAACCCAGAGGUGUAUGUUAUGAAGAGCCAAGAUCGUGCCAUUGCACUCCAGCCUGGGCCACGAGAGCGAGAACUGCGUCUCAAAAAAAAAAAAAAAAAAGGUUGGAAUGAAAGGUCUUAAUUUAAAUCACUUUGAAAAACAGUGUUUUGAUUGAAUACUGCAAGAGUCAAAAACUAUACACAAACUGUAUUCUUGUUGUUUUUUCAUAAGCAUAUGAAUUAGCAAUUUUUAAAACUAUAUGUUGGCAUAUACACACACGCAUAGUAAUUACUGCCUGUUUUUUGAACUUGAAAAAUGUUAGCAUCAAAGGGAGAAUUUUAGAAUAAAUGAUGUGAUGCUGGA